GAAAAACGGGCGGGGCACGCGCUCAAUGAAUCGAAAAAAAGUGUAGGCCAUAAUGUUCCGUUGAACAAAUGUCAAAUUCUUUCAUUUUUUUGGAGGCUGGUCCCCUGGGAGAACAGUCAGUCAGGAAGCACAGCUGAUGCUAAUGCUGACGGACAUUCAGCCCCAGACUAUGCAGCACAUCCACUGAGCUCACUGACGAUGAUGAUGCGUACUCAGAGAACAUAGUCAGCUGUGGCCCGGGGAAGUCCAGCCCUCCACUAUGACACUUACCAAAACAGGCUUACAAAAACAUCACAUUACGGAGAAUAUACUAUGCUGGUUAUGUAGCGGGCUAUCACUGCCACUGGCGGACUGACUGAGUGGGAUGGUGGCUGAGAUGGAAGGUAAUGGGUGUGAUUGAGGAUGAGCCGGUACACUGGAUCAAUCUGGAUUUAUAACCUUCUGGAGGGUGCUAAUGUAAAGCUUCUGCAUCUGGGAUUUUGAGAUUAGAGUGAAAAUACAUCUUUUCAUGACCUCUUGUAAUAAAUACUGGCCCACUAGAGGGCACUCAGAAUAAGCCUCAUAUCUGAUGUAUGGUGCAAUAGGUUGUGCCAGAGCAGAUGUUGAGAUGGUUCAAAUCAUUUUGAACAAUACUGUCCAUUCAUUAAUAAAGCAAUUGCAUG